ACACCUCAACUCUUGCGGUUUUGCCGUGAUGAGCUUGGACUUUGGGGGUCUUGCUGGCCUGUGGUCAGCUCCUCUCAAAUGAAUCAGCUUGCCAGUGUUUGGUGGCGUCACGGGUGUGAUAACUAUCUACGCUUGCGGCUUCCACCAGGUAACCUUCAGUGAUGGAGGUUCACUGGAGCUCACAAAUGUCUCUCCUCGGUGAGGACAGCUCUUUGAAU
rnacentral:misc_RNA from 1 species